GGUUGCGUAGUGUAGUGGUUAGCACUUUGGAUUUUGAUUCUGCUUGCUUGCUUGACACUUCAACUUUCCAACAACCCGGGUUCGACUCCCGGCGCGACCU
rnacentral:tRNA from 1 species